GAAUGUGUCAAGGGAAAGCACGCGAUUCCGGAAUAAACUGAACAAUUUGAAUCUGAUGACAAAUGUGGAAGGUAGAGUGCGCCAAAAUCUGCAGAAGAAGAAGUUGAAUAAAUACUGUAGAUGCAUUAUGGUGUCAAAAACCAUGACUGUGAAUGCCUUGGAGGAUUUACAAAAUUAACUACUUCGUGACAAUCUUGUCCCGUGUGGAAUUUGUCACUUGUGCGAUGAGUAAUUAAUUAUUUUAAAUGAUAUUUCUUUCAUUGUGUUGACCAAUAAGCGUACACUUUGAGAAUGAGGAAGUAGACCUUGUAAGGAAUGGCCGGCAAGUGUAGCAUGUAACAAUGUAGCAUGUAACAAUGAGGGAGUUCAUUUCGACGCCUCCAUUUUUCCUUUUCAUCGCCGUUGUUUAAACAGGAGUUAGUAGCUCCUUUUGACAAAGCAGCUCGAUUCGAUAGAACACCGGACAAUCAAAUUAGACCAGAGAUUAUUGGCAGCGUGUCAUUACACCGACUCCAGCUCGCCAUUAACCCUCCCCCGCGGCGGUCUGCUUACUUUGCCGGGAUGGGCAGCACCGAGGAGGCGCUGCUGCUUUUUUUUCGAGCCGCCUGUGGGUGUGUAAGCUCGUCUAUUUAAGCACCAGCGAGUCAAGUCCCAACAUUAUUUUACUGACGCCAUGGACAACAUGGAGACCCCUCUGGGUUCUUUUAAAAACCCCAUCAAGUUUCUGGACCAGGACUUCAAAACCCUGCUGGAGAAGUGUCUCAAGUCCGGCGAGAUGUUCUCCGAUGCGACCUUCCCGGCCGAGCAGAAGUCCAUCGGCAUGCCGGAGGAUGACGAGCCGAAAAAGGCAAUCAAAUGGAAGCGACCCAAGGACAUCAGUGAGAAUGCUGUGUUUGUGGAGGGCACUAUCGGCACCACUGACAUCUGCCAGGGUCAGCUAGGUAACUGCUGGCUGCUAGCAGCAUUGUCCUGUCUCACCAUGCACCCCAAGCUCUUCAUCAAGGUGGUCCCGCCUGACCAAAGCCUGUACAAGUCUUAUGCCGGCAUCUUCCAUUUCAAGUUCUGGCAGUAUGGUGAGUGGGUGGAGGUGGUUGUGGACGACAGGCUGCCAAUACGAGAGGGCCGUCUGCUCUUCAGCUACUCUCACACCCGCAAUGAGUACUGGAGCGCCCUGGUGGAGAAGGCCUAUGCCAAGUUAAUCGGAUCAUACGGAAGUCUGAAGGGUGGCAACAUUUCGGAGGGGAUGGAGGAUUUCACAGGUGGCAUCGCGUACUCACUGCCGGUUUCCUCUCACGCGCCUCGGGUCUUGUGGAGGUUGCUGACAGCGGCCCUUGUUCGAGGCAGCCUGCUCAGCUGCUUCAUUCAGGCCAACAACUACCGGGAGGUAGGCAAAAUAAAUGGAGAUGGUCUGAUAAAGGGCCAUGCCUACGCCAUCACUGAAACCGACCAGGUGAAGCAUGCGUCGGGUGAGAUUUUGCUCCUGAGGCUGAGGAAUCCGUGGGGCUUUGUUGAAUACAGUGGACCCUGGAGUGACAAGAGCAAGGAGUGGAGUGACGUAUCCAAAGAGGAGAAAGAGAGGCUAGAAAUGAAAAGGAGAGAAGAUGGGGAGUUCUGGAUCAGUGCUGAUGAUUUUGGCAGCAAGUUUGACUUAGUGGAGCUCUGCAGUGUUAAUCCUGACACCCUUGUGGUUACAAACACAGAGCAUCCUCCUAGCUCCGCCCCCUCUCAGUGGACCAUCAACGAGCACGAAGGAUUGUGGCUACCAGGGAGCUCUGCCGGUGGAAGCCGGAAAUACCACCGAUCCUUCUGGAAGAAUCCCCAGUUUGAGUUGGUUCUCACGGAGCAUGAUCAGCCUGAUGAGGAUGAUGAGGACGACGAAUCGGAGGAGGACGAAGAGGAAGAGGACGGUAUGUCACUCGAGAGCAAAAAAACGGAGAAGCAGAAGAUGAAAGCCAAAAAGUGCACCGUUUUGGUGGAAGUCCUGCAGAAAGACAGAAGGCGGCGGGACAAAAUCCACUUCCUCUUCAUGGGUUUUCACAUCUACAAGGUUCCACCCGAGCUUCAAGGGAUGUGUCUGCAGCGCAACUUCUUCCUAAAAAAUCGCCCUGUCAGCCGCUCGGGGAAAUAUAAGGCUCAAAGGGGAGUGUGGAGGAAAGUGCACCUGGACCCGGGUCACUACGUCCUUGUAGCGUCCACCUAUCGACCAAACCAGCGUGGAGAGUUCUUUGUGCGCAUCUUCUCCAAAACUGGGAACACUUUGGGAACGCAGGACUUUAUGUGCUCUUCUGGCUAUCUUCCAGUGAUGGCAGCUCCUGUCGCCCCGGAGGACAAAAUGAGAGUUCUGCGGGCUUUUGAUGAAGAGGCUGGACCAGAUGACAGGUUAAACGCCAAGGAGCUCAUGAAGAUCUUUAACUCAGUCCUGGACAAAAAUUACCACCUGCCACUGGAGACGUGCAGACAGCUCAUCCUUGCAGGGGAUACUAAAGGAAGAGCAAGUCUGAACCGGCAACAAACUGAAGUCCUGCUCUCUGACCUACGCAACCUUCAGUCCAUCUUUUUCCAGUUUGAUGAGGACUCUUCUGGGACCAUGAGUCCUUUUGAACUCACUGCUGCUCUACAGGCUGUGGGGAUGAAGUGUGACAAUAAAGUUGUCCAGCUGAUGUCUGAGCGCUUUGCAUCUGGAGAGCUUCACCUGACCUUCCAUGGCUUUGUGGCUGGUGUCACCAGGCUGCGCAAGCUCUUUGCUCUGUAUGACUCAGAGAGCAGCCAAGAGGUAAAAGACAGAGGGAUCAACUCUUGGCUCAUUCAGUUUCUGGUGGUGUGACGAGCAUCUCCACAAGGACUCAGCAUUGCUCCAAUGACUGACACCAACACACACACACACACACACACACACACACACACACACACACACUUCUGCUCUUCAGUUCCAAUAUUUCACGAUGAAAGAUGUUUCCAAUAUCUUAGUUGGCUUAUUUAGCUCUUAAUUACAUCAAGCACUAUUCUUAUGACUGGGGACGUAUUAGAAACCCCUUUUGCUACAAUAUGCUAAGAAUUAUUUACCUGUGCAAACUACAGCAAGAAUGAAAUGCAUAACAAAUUUACUGUAAUUGUUUUUUUAUUUUCAAAAAUAAUCAUCUUGACCCUCAGGGGACAUUGGAGUUUAAUUUUCUUCGAAGUUAAAGAUAAUUUAGUUUUUUACUUUUUACGUGACUGCGUGGGUUCCAAAGACAUGCACCUGGGGAUAGGUUGAUUGGCAACACUAAAUUGGCCCUAGUGUGUGAAUGUUGUCUGUCUAUCUGUGUUGGCCCUGUGAUGAGGUGGCGACUUGUCCAGGGUGUACCCCGCCUUCCGCCCGAAUGCAGCUGAGAUAGGCUCCAGCACCCCCGUGACCCCGAAAGGGACAAGCGGUAGAAAAUGGACGGAUGGAUGGAUGGAUGGAUGUUUUUUAAACAAUAAUAUCAAACAUAUAAGGUUGUUGUUUUUUUGGCCCUUCUGAAAGCCUUUGAUCAGAUAAUAUUUGCAUAAGAGUCAUUUUACAAAUUUAAAGAGGAACUGCACUUUUUUGGAAUUUUGCCUAUCAUUCACCAUCCUUAUGUAAGACAAGCGCACAUGUUUUUUCUUCUAGUAAAUAAAUGCGAUCAAAAGUCAUCUUAUAAUGGAGCUUAUGGGAGUCACUCUAUUAAAAUUUAAUAUAUACCGUAUUUUUCGGAGUAUAAGUCGCACCGGCCGAAAAUGCAUAAUAAAGAAGGGAAAAAACAUAUAUAAGUCGCACUGGAGUAUAAGCCGCAUUUUUGGGGGAAAUUUAUUUGAUAAAACCCAACACCCAGAAUAGACAUUUGAAAGGCAAUUUAAAAUAAAUAAAGAAUAGUGAACAACAGGCUGAAUAAGUGUACGUUAUAUGAGGCAUAAAUAACCAACUGAGAACGUGCCUGGUAUGUUAACGUAACAUAUUAUGGUAAGAGUCAUUCAAAUAACUAUAACAUAUAGAACAUGCUAUACAUUUACCAAACAAUCUGUCACUCCUAAUCGCUAAAUCCCAUGAAAUCUUAUACGUCUAGUCUCUUACGUCAAUGAGCUAAAUAAUAUUAUUUGAUAUUUUACGGUAAUGUGUUAAUAAUUUCACACAUAAAUCACUCCUGAGUAUAAGUCGCACCCCCGGCCAAACUAUGCAAAAAACUGUGAUUUAUAGUCCGAAAAAUACGUUACCUCUUUUGCUUUUACCUUUGACAUUACUGCUCACUGCAGACUUCAUGAGAGCCAACAAACAUAAUUAAACACCACUUACUGUACGAUGUCUGCUGUCACUAGGAUGCCGACUGUUAGGAUGUUGAUUUAUUCCCAUUUAGAUUAAGAAUGACUCAUAAUCCUGGCAAAGGGUGCAAACCAGCGUCUUUCAAAUGUCUCUCUCGCCAUCUCCGGGUCUAAAUUGGCUGUCAAAAGUUUAAACCUUCUCAGUUUAUGUCCACAUAAUUUUACUAUCAAAGUCAGAAGCAUUAUUUUUUUUUAUCUCCAAUUACUUUUGAGAGCUCCGAGGUGAGAAAGCAGCUCACCAGCUGAGGAUGUCCACACAGCAGCAUGAGGAAGUUGCCUCUCUGAUCAACGCUAAAUGUAGGUCCUUAACUUUAGCGCUUAUAAUAACCAUAUGGCUAAUAAAUGUUAAUAUUUAGGUCAUGACAUGUAAAUGGAGUAUUGUUGGCGCUUUUUGGAUGGUUAUUUUUGGGGUUUAUGGUCAGAAUGAACACAACAGACACACUGACGCCAUGUUUCCCAUUUGCUCCAUUUUCAGCAGACUUUUAUUUACAUUUAUAUACAAGUUAGAAUGCAUUUAAAAGACAUGUGUUCUUGGCUUACAUAUAUAUAAAUACACUACCGUUCAAAAGUUUGGGUUCACCCAAACAAUUUUGUGGAAUAGCCUUCAUUUCUAAGAACAAGAAUAUUUCUGGCUAUUUUGAGCGUUUAAUUGACCCCACAAAUGUGAUGCUCCAGAAACUCAAUCUGCUCAAAGGAAGGUCAGUUUUGUCGCUUCUGUAAUGAGCUAAACUGUUUUCAGAUGUGUGAACAUGAUUGCACAAGGGUUUUCUAAUCAUCAAUUAGCCUUCUGAGCCAAUGAGCAAACACAUUGUACCAUUAGAACACUGGAGUGAUAGUUGCUGGAAAUGGGCCUCUAUACACCUAUGUAGAUAUUGCACCAAAAACCAGACAUUAGCAGCUAGAAUAGUGAUUUACCACAUUAGCAAUGUAUAGAGUGUAUUUCUUUAAAGUUAAGACUAGUUUAAAGUUAUCUUCAUUGAAAAGUACAGUGCUUUUCCUUCAAAAAUAAGGACAUUUCAAUGUGACCCCAAACUUUUGAACGGUAGUGUGUAUAUAUAUA